rnacentral:lncRNA from 1 species
GUUCCUAGGAUAACCAGUGUAUGGCCAAGGACGCCUUUCCGACCACUUUUCUCUGCCAUACAAACAGCUUCUCUGCUGAGCUCUCAUCCUUUUGAAGCAGCCAUGUUUGGGGUAGCAGGGGCUAUGUAUUAUCUGUUUGAGAGAGCUUUUACCAGCAGGUGGAAACCCUCAAAGGUUGGCCUCUUUCUGCUGGUUCUGGGAAUUCCUUUACUCUCUGUCUGACAGUGACACCUCAGCUACUACACUCUGCAAGAAUUAACAGCUCAGAUGGGCACUCUGCUUUUGAUUGCUGAUUCCAAUCUUGUAUAGGACGCAUAGAUCAUGCUGUGAUCUCAUUGGAGAAGAAAAUAGCUGAAAGGACAACAAACUCAAAAUGCAGCAUCAGCUAGAGAGCCUGUGGGUGUUAGUCUCUGGGAAUGGCUCCCUGUCAGCAGGGCAUUGCUUCCUCCUGACUCAUGCUCUCCCACCAGUGGAGUUUUGGGAAGGGUUUAUUCACUCGCCCAGCUGGCAAACCAGCCCCUUGCUAGCCAAACAGCCAUGAUGGACAGCCUGCCACACCUAUAGAGGUGUGUCCCUGGCAUUUCCUCUACACUUCAUCAUCAGCUCUGUGGCCCAAUACCCCACCCCUCUCGGAGUGCUGCUUCUCCAGAGAGAAGUGAGUUGUCUUUUUACUGAUAGUUAUUCAAAACAUUUUUUAUUAUUUCUCAUUACUUUUGGGGGAUUUUUCUCCUCACAGAAUAAUAAAUGUCACUAUCAUUUGAAUGUUUACAAAAAAAACAAAAAACACAUUAA